AUCGCUUCUCAGCCUUUGGCCAAGAUCAAGUGUAGAAUCUGUUCUUAUCAGUAUAAUUAGUGACUUCUAUACUAGAAUACAACAAAUAAGUGUCAUAAUUUCUGGUGUCAGAAAUAAAAACUAAA
ensembl:snRNA U2 U2 spliceosomal RNA